rnacentral:lncRNA from 1 species
GUCCGAAAGGAGGCCACUUACUGUAGAAGCUUGGAUGGAGAUCGGUUGCCGUAGAAGUCUGGAUGGAGACCGCUUAUCGUAGAAGCUUAGAUGGAGAUUGAUUGCCGUAGAAGUUCGGAUGGAGACCGCUUAUCGUAGAAGCUCGGAUGAAGUCUGCUUGCAAUAGGAGUUCGGAGUAGAAAUUUGGCUGUUGGAGCCCAUCUGUUGUAAAAGUUUGUUUGGAAUCCAUCUGCUGUAGAAGUUCGGAUGGAGUCUGAUUCUUGUAGGAGCUCAGAUGAAAUUUGGAAGGCAGUCGACCGUCGUAGAAACUUGGAUGGAGUCUGAUUACUGUAGAAGUCCUGCUGCUGGAGGAGCUCGGAUAUUGACGAAGUCUGAAAGAAGCUCAGAGUAAAGUCGAUCGUGACAGGAGGA